rnacentral:rRNA from 1 species
UACGUAGGGUGCGAGCGUUAAUCGGAAUUACUGGGCGUAAAGCGUGCGCAGGCGGUUCGUUAUGUCCGAUGUGAAAGCCCCGAGCUCAACUUGGGAAUGGCAUUGGAAACUGGCGGGCUUGAGUGCGGCAGAGGGGGGUGGAAUUCCGCGUGUAGCAGUGAAAUGCGUAGAGAUGUGGAGGAACACCGAUGGCGAAGGCAGCCCCCUGGGCCAACACUGACGCUCAGGCACGAAAGCGUGGGGAGCAAACAGG